rnacentral:rRNA from 1 species
GAUGAACGCUAGCGGCAGGCCUAACACAUGCAAGUCGAGGGGCAUCAUGGCGUAGCAAUACGCUGAUGGCGACCGGCGCACGGGUGCGUAACGCGUAUGGAACCUACCCACCGCAGGGGGAUAACCCGCCGAAAGGCGGACUAAUACCCCAUGGUUCCCCGACCCUGCCUGGGGUUGGGGGUAAAGCCUACGGGCGGCGGUGGAUGGCCCUGCGUGCCAUUAGCUGGCUGGUGGGGUAACGGCCCACCAGGGCGACGAUGGCUAGGGGGUCUGAGAGGACGAUCCCCCACACUGGUACUGAGACACGGACCAGACUCCUACGGGAGGCAGCAGUGAGGAAUAUUGGUCAAUGGGCGCAAGCCUGAACCAGCCAUCCCGCGUGCAGGAAGACGGCGCUAUGCGUUGUAAACUGCUUUUCCAGGGAGAGAAACUUGCGCACGUGUUGCGCAAUUGACGGUACCCUGGGAAUAAGCAUCGGCUAACUCCGUG